rnacentral:rRNA from 1 species
GACGAACGCUUGCGGCGUGCCUAAGAAAUGCAAGUCGAGCGGGGGAGCAAUCCCUAGCGGCGAACGGUCGCGUAACACGUAAGCAACCUGCCCGAAAGACCGGGACAACAGCUCGAAAGGGCUGCUAAUACCGGAUGUGUCCACUGGGUCUCAUGACCUGGUGAGUAAAUCAUUUAUGGCUUUCGGAGGGGCUUGCGGCCUAUCAGCUAGAUGGCGGUGUAACGGACCACCAUGGCGACGACGGGUAGCUGGUCUGAGAGGAUGGUCAGCCGGACUGGGACUGAGAUACGGCCCAGACUCCGUACGGGGGCGAGCAAUUAGGAAUCUUGUGCAAUGGGCGAAAGCCUGACACAGCGACGCCGCGUGAGGGAGGAAGGCCUU